CAAGUGAAGGAGAUUGGAUUUUGUUUGGGAACCUGACCAGAGUUCUUAGGAAGCUGAGGCAUCAGCGAGACUAGAUAAAUCGAGAUGUUGCUGGUGGAGAUCAAGAGUACAGGCACAGGGAAUUCCCGGGAGGUCCAGUGAUCAGGGCUCUACAUUCUCAAUGCCAAGGUUCAAGGCCCCACAAGUCGCACAUAGGGCCUAAGGAAAAGAGUACAGUACACAGAGCAUCCUUGGAGAAUGCAGCGGACAUCGGUGUUUUAUUUACCUGGCACAGCUCCCAUCUCCUGGAACAGGAGACACACCUGGAUGCACCUGUUCUCCCCCGCCCCAACUUCAAUAUGUCAGCCUUCCCAAGAACUGCCUUUCAAAUGUAAAUUUAAAAAUCAUAAAAUAUUUAAUAAAAAGCCAUCUCCUUAGCUACAAUGAUUGAUCUAAGGGUGGAUACCAGAUACAAGCUAGUUCAAUCAUAGUAUCUUAUUGUCUCCACUCUGUCCGGAGUGUUUGACCAACAUACGGGCAUGUGACCCCAAUCGGAGACCUUCCCUGGUAAUUCUGAAUUUUGAAUUGUCACUAGGGGAAAGAGCUGGUUUUUUUUUCUGAUGGCAAAUCUGUCAAGUUGCAAAUUUAGCGAUGCUGCUGGUUAUGUCUCUAAUAUUUGGGGAAAAAAAACUGGCCUUCAAUAGAAAAAAAGUUUAACCUUAGCAGAGAUGCAGAUGUGAGGCUCAGAAGGAAGUUAGUUCUGGUGGCCUUUCAGCCUCUGGUUACAGGCAUCCCUGGAGUUAAUUUCAUCCGCUCCUGUCUUACAGUUUGGUUAACAUGAACCCAUAAAUUACCCUUUAUACUGGAGGUAGUUCUUAUUGGGUUUCUGACACUAACAACCGAGAGUCCUGACUAAUGAAGACAGGGAGAUAAUUAAGUCUGAUCUUGAUACAUUGCCUUUUAAAAGACUCUUCCCUGGGUGGUGGUGGAGCUUAAGGGGAAGAGCAGGACCAGAGAUAGAGAUUUGAAGGUCAUGUUUGGUUUAGAGGUUGAGCCCUGGGAGUGAAUGAGCUCACCUAAGGUAAGCGUAGGAAGUGAUCUGAGGCCUAGGAGGGUGCCAUCCUAGGAGGAGGCAUUUUGAAGGAUGCCAGCAUCCAAGGGGACAGAGGAGGACCAGCUGUCUCACCCAGGCCAUUUCUUAUUUCACCCAGCUCUUCCACUCUCACAGUCCUCCUUGGGGAGAAGGCCACGUCUAAGUCCAGGAGGGGUCACUAGCUUCUCUUUUUUCUAUCUUUCUUUUCUUUAUUGGCCAUGCAGCAUGUGGGAUCCUAGUUCCCUGACCAGAGACCAGAGAUCAAACCUGAGCCCCCCUGCGCUGGAAGCUCAGAGUCGUAACCACUGAACCAACAGGGAAGUCCCCUUUCUUUUUUUCUUUUUUAUUUAACGCUCUAGGUUACAUCUUUUGAAAUCUGCAACAGAGAAUUCUAGUUCUCCAUCCCCCCAAAGUUCUUCCUCUUAUUUGAAACCUGUGAUCUCAUAAUUUAGGUCUCCAGGGUUAAAUUUCUCACUUCAUUGAGCCAUUGUUGUUCAGCCACUCGGUUGUGUCUGACUCUUUUGUGACCCCAUGAACUGCAGCACACCAGUCUCCUCUGCCCUCCACUAUCUCUCAGAGUUUGCUCAAACUCAUGUCCCUUGAGUCGGUGAUGCCAUCCAACUAUCUCAUCCUCUGUUGCCCCCUUCUUCCCUCAAUCUUUCACAGCAUCAGGGUCUUUUUCCAAUGAAUUGGUUCUUUGCAUCACAUGGCCAAAAUAUUGGAGCUUCAGUUUCAGCAUCUGUCCCUCCAAUAAUAUUCAGGGUUGAUUUUCUUGAGGACUUACUGGUUUGAUCUCCUUGCAGUCCAAGGGACUUCACUUAUCUGGUAAUGAUCAGAUUUUACUGAACCCUUCUGGUCUUUCUCAUCUGUGGUUGUUCUGCAGAGAGUUGUGAUUUUUGGUGUGCUUGUGAAAGGAAGUGAGCCCAGGGUCUUUCUACUCUACCAUGUGUACACAUAUCCUUCUGUAUACUUUAAAUCAUCUCUAGAUCACUUAUAACACCUGAAAUAAUGAGAUGUAAGUAGCUGUAAAUAGAAUGUAAAUUCUAUUUAAAUAAUUGUCGCAUGUGGAAAAUUCAGGUUCCACUCUUUUGAGGUUUCUGGACUAUCUUUUGCAAGUAUUUUAAAUCUACAAUUGGUUGAAUCCAUGAAUGGGGAACCUGUGGAUGCAGAGGGUGAUGAUUAUCUGGGUGGAGAGCAAACUUCCCUUGCCCCCUAAACUGAGGUUUUAGAUGAACUUUUGUUUUGGGUUCACUCCUACAUAACACAAUCAUUCGGACACGACUGAGUGACUCAACUGAACCGAGAUGUCCAUGCACUUUGAAAAUAUAAUGUUUAUAUUCAUGUUCCCUUAAACUAUAAAAUGCCUUACUUCUCUUACUGCUUGAGGCUUCUGGCUUGUUGUGUUCCCUCUACUUUCCCAAGACUGCAAUCUCCAGAACUUAACUUGUUACUGAAACCAAACUCGGUCCCUUCCCCUGAGUGCAGUAAAGUCAAUCUACCGACACCAGGUUGUAAAGAAGGAAAGGAGCGUUUAUUGCAGGUGCCAAGCAAUGAGUCCAGGAAAGCUAGUGCUCAGAACACUUGGGCUCCCUAACGGAGUUCUCAAGAAAGCAUCUUUAAAGGCCAGGUGAGGGAGGUGGGGAUCCAGGGUACACGAUCCGCUUGUGCAGUUCUCUGAUGGGCUGAUGGUGGUACCAGGGUGGUGUCACAGGAGUGAACAUUAUCAGUCCUCAGCCUCCAGGAGGCCUGGGGGUAUGUGCUCAUGGUCGUCGAGUACGUAACAUUUUCCAUUUGGUGGUGGUUUUAGCAUUUGUAAAAAAAAACUCAGAAAGUUUGAAGAGGGAAAUGUAAUUGGAAGACUUGUUCAGUGUAGAAGAUACUGGCACUUUGGAGAGGGCUCCAAGAGAACUCUAAGGGGUAGAGGAUGAAGGGAAAAGUGGACAAGGAAGAAGCUUCAGAGCUCAGAGUAAAGAGCCCACAUGCCCGCUGGCCUCAGACCCCAGAGGGGAGGUCCCUGUGUCAGGAAGCAUGCUGCCUGCAGCACGGCGAUGGUGAUGCUCUUGAGGACGAAGGUGCCCAGAGCUGGUGGCUGAGGGCAGCCUGCCACCCCCCUGUGACGCCACUGGGGUGCCUGCUUGCUGCUGCUCUGAAAAACAGACAAAGGGAAGGGGGAGAAAAAGGCCCUUCUUUCUCUCCCAACCAUGCAUCGCCCCGCCCACACUCCUAUUGUCCAACCUCAGGGCCAGCCAGCUGGCAACAGGAAAGCUAGCCUGCAGAGUCCAGCUCCAGUAUUACAAAGCGGGAGAAGGCUGGGGGAGGCGGGUGGAGCGGAAAGAUGUGAAAUUAAUAACUGGUACAGAUGGAAAGUACAUUUUUUCCUCCCAAGGAUGGAAGGAAGCCCAAAACACCAUCAUGUAAAAGGG
ensembl:lncRNA